GACGAACGCUGGCGGCGUGCCUAAUACAUGCAAGUAGAACGCUGAAGGAGGAGCUUGCUUCUCCGGAUGAGUUGCGAACGGGUGAGUAACGCGUAGGUAACCUGCCUGGUAGCGGGGGAUAACUAUUGGAAACGAUAGCUAAUACCGCAUAAGAGUAGAUGUCGCAUGACAUUUGCUUAAAAGGUGCAACUGCACCACUACCAGAUGGACCUGCGUUGUAUUAGCUAGUGGGUGAGGUAACGGCUCACCAAGGCAACGAGACAUAGCCGACCGGAGAGGGGGAUCGGCCACACUGGGACUGUGACACGGCCCAGACUCCCUCGGGAGGCAGCAGUAGGGAAUCUUCGGUAAUGGGCGGAAGUCUGACCGAGCAACGCCGCGUGAGUGAAGAAGGUUUUCGGAUCGUAAAGCUCUGUUGUAAGAGAAGAACGAGUGUGAGAGUGGAAAGUUCACACUGUGACGGUAUCUUACCAGAAAGGGACGGCUAACUACGUG
rnacentral:rRNA from 1 species